rnacentral:lncRNA from 1 species
AGCAGUUGUUUACAAAGUUCUUCACAAACCUUAAAGUGUAUGAAAAUAAAUGGUCUGAAUCCAUUCCCUGGAGGAAGCGAAGCUGAAAGCAUCCUUUUCAGCCUGAAAGUUUCUCCCUGUGGGGUGUCCAGCCAGAAGCCCCCAGCCCUAUCGAUGGCACCACAGCACAGGUGGCACAGGGGAGCAACAUUGCCUCAUCCAGGGCCCUCAGAGCAGGUGCCCUCCCGUGUUAUGGUGCUUCUCCACAGCACUGAGAGCCACUCAGUGUUAGCAACUAGAAUUGAGAAGAUUGGCACCUCUGAUGUCCCAGGUGGCGGCCUGAAGUGAGCAAGUGGAGAUGACAGCUGGUCUGACUGAGCUCAAAGGAUAGCUUCCAGAGAGUCCUACAAGAGAGACAACACGCAAAGCAUCGGGGCAUGGCAAAGUCCACUUGGCACCUAAGAGCCAGAAGCCCACGGGAAUAUUACAGCCAGCAUGACAAAUCCUCAGAACCCAGCUCCACAGUACUCCAGGAGGCAGACUUACGGAUGGAAGCCAGGCUCAAUCAAGAGAUCAGGUUGUCAGGUGAGUUCAAAGUGAUGAAACACAUGGGCUUACAAGUAGAGAUCAAUUAGCCUAUUAGCUGGCAUAGACG